rnacentral:rRNA from 1 species
CGCCGCNGGAGGGUGAACGGCCACAUUGGGACUGAGACACGGCCCAAACUCCUACGGGAGGCAGCAG